AUGCAAUUGGUACGGUCUAGCAAGACUGCUAUAAACAUUAAGGGAGAGGUGGGACCUUUCUUUGCGGCAUCAGCGGGGGUGAAGCAAGGGGACCCGAUAUCCCCCCUUCUCUUCAACCUUGCCGUGGACGCGUUGGCAGGUAUCCUGGACAAGGCUAGGCAUGCCGGCCACAUCUCGGGGGUGGUCGGCCACCUCAUUCCAGGA
rnacentral:rRNA from 1 species